rnacentral:rRNA from 1 species
AAUCUACCUAGUAGUAUAGGAUAGCCACUAGAAAUGGUGGGUAAUACUGUAUAAUCCCUGCGGGGGAAAGAUUUAUCGCUACAUGAUGAGCCUAUGUUAGAUUAGCUAGUUGGUGGGGUAAUGGCCUACCAAGGCAGUGAUCUAUAGCUGGUCUGAGAGGAUGAUCAGCCACACUGGAACUGAGACACGGUCCAGACUCCUACGGGAGGCAGCAGUGGGGAAUAUUGGACAAUGGGCGCAAGCCUGAUCCAGCUAUGCCGCGUGAGUGAGGAAGGCCUUAGGGUUGUAAAACUCUUUCAGUGGGGAAGAUAAUGACGGUACCCACAGAAGAAGUCCCGGCAAACUCCGUGCGAGCGGCCGC